UACGUAGGGUGCAAGCGUUGUCCGGAAUUAUUGGGCGUAAAGAGCUCGUAGGCGGUCUGUCGCGUCUGGUGUGAAAAUCCAGGGCUUAACCCUGGACCUGCAUCGGGUACGGGGCAGACUAGAGUGCGGUAGGGGGAGAUCGGAAUUCCUGGUGUAGCGGUGAAAUGCGCAGAUAUCAGGAGGAACACCGGUGGCGAAGGCGGAUCUCUGGGCCGUAACUGACGCUGAGGAGCGAAAGCAUGGGGAGCGAACAGG
rnacentral:rRNA from 1 species